UUACGUGGGACGUAAAGCGCAUGCAGGUGGUUUGUUAAGUCAGAUGUAGAAACGGCCCGGGGCUACCAACCGUACGGUAAUUGCUAUUUAGAAACUGGCAGACUAGAGUACUGUAGAGGGGGUAGAAUUUCAGGUGUAGCGGUGAAAUGCGUAGAGAUCUGAAGGAAUACCGGUGGCGAAGGCGGCCCCCUGGACAGAUACUGACACUCAGAUGCGAAAGCGUGGGGAGCAAACAGGAUUAGAUACCCUGGUAG
rnacentral:rRNA from 1 species